rnacentral:rRNA from 1 species
AUUGAACGCUGGCGGCAGGCCUAACACAUGCAAGUCGAGCGAGCGGCGGACGGGGGAGUAAUAUACGGGGAAUGCCCGGUAGAGUGGGAUAACAACUGGAAACGGUAGCUAAUACAACAUACUAUCGGAGAACGCAUAUGGGAUUAGCUGGUUGGUGAGGUAAUGGCUCACCUAGGCGACGAUCCCUAGCUGGUCUGAGAGGAUGAUCAGCCACACUGGGACUGAGCAACGGCCCAGACUCCUACGGAGGCAGCAGUGGGGAAUAUUGCACAAUGGGCGCAAGCCUGAUGCAGCCAUGCCGCGUGUAUGAAGAAGGCCCUAGGGUUGUAAAGUACUUUCAGUCGGGAGGCGUUACCGACAGAAGAAGCACCGGCUAACUCCGUGCCAGCAGCCGCGGUAAUAC